rnacentral:rRNA from 1 species
CUGUUCAUACGUUGACGGUAUUUAACCAGAAAGUCACGGCUAACUACGUGCCAGCAGCCGCGGUAAUACGUAGGUGGCAAGCGUUAUCCGGAUUUAUUGGGCGUAAAGAGAGUGCAGGCGGUUUUCUAAGUCUGAUGUGAAAGCCUUCGGCUUAACCGGAGAAGUGCAUCGGAAACUGGAUAACUUGAGUGCAGAAGAGGGUAGUGGAACUCCAUGUGUAGCGGUGGAAUGCGUAGAUAUAUGGAAGAACACCAGUGGCGAAGGCGGCUACCUGGUCUGCAACUGACGCUGAGACUCGAAAGCAUGGGUAGCGAACAGGAUUAGAUACCCUGGUAG